rnacentral:rRNA from 1 species
UUAAGGAAUUCGGCAAAUAUAUUUUCUGCCUGUUUAUUAAAAACAUGGCUUUUUGAGAUAAUUUAAGGUCUGACCUGCCCAAUGAUGUAUUAAAUGGCCGCGGUAAUUUGACCGUGCAAAGGUAGCAUAGUAAUUAGUUUUUUGAUUGAAAGCUGGUAUGAACGGUUUGACAAGAAAGUGUCUGUCUCUAUAUAGAUUUAAAUGAAUUUUAUUUUUUAGUUAAAAAGCUUAAAUGAUAUUGGGGGACGAGAAGACCCUAUAGAAUUUUAUAGGUAUUUAAAAUUUAAUGUUUUUGAAGGAUUAAUUUUAGAUUUAGGUUACCUAUUUCGUUGGGGUGAUGGAAAAAUUUAUUAAACUUUUUUAGAGAAGAUUCAUUAAUGAAUGAUUAUUUGAUCCAUUAAUAGUGAUUAUAAGAUUAAAUUACCUUAGGGAUAACAGCGUUAUUGGUUUGGAGAGUUCAUAUCGAUAAAUCAGUUUGCGACCUCGAUGUUGGAUUAAAAUACAUUACUGGUGUAGAAGCUAGUAAAUUAAGUCUGUUCGACUUUUAAAAUUUUACAUGAUCUGAGUUUAAACCGGCGUGAGCCAGGUUGGUUUCUAUCUUU